rnacentral:rRNA from 1 species
GGAGGAUCCGAGCGUUAUCCGGAUUUAUUGGGUUUAAAGGGUGCGUAGGCGGCCUGUUAAGUCAGGGGUGAAAGACGGUAGCUCAACUAUCGCAGUGCCCUUGAUACUGAUGGGCUUGAAUGUACUAGAGGUAGGCGGAAUGUGACAAGUAGCGGUGAAAUGCAUAGAUAUGUCACAGAACACCAAUUGCGAAGGCAGCUUACUAUGGUAUUAUUGACGCUGAGGCACGAAAGCGUGGGGAUCAAACAGGAUUAGAUACCCUGGUAGUCCACGCCCUAAACGAUGAAUACUCGAUGUUAGCGAUAUACAGUUAGCGUCAAAGCGAAAGCGUUAAGUAUUCCACCUGGGGAGUACGCCCGCAAGGGUG